rnacentral:rRNA from 1 species
CAGCCGCCGCGGGGAUACGUAGGGUGCAAGCGUUAAUCGGAAUUACUGGGCGUAAAGCGUGCGCAGGCGGCUUUGCAAGACAGAUGUGAAAUCCCCGGGCUUAACCUGGGAACUGCAUUUGUGACUGCAUGGCUAGAGUGCGGCAGAGGGGGAUGGAAUUCCGCGUGUAGCAGUGAAAUGCGUAGAUAUGCGGAGGAACACCGAUGGCGAAGGCAAUCCCCUGGGCCUGCACUGACGCUCAUGCACGAAAGCGUGGGGAGCAAACAGGAUUAGAUACCCGCGUAGUCCCUGUCUCUUAUAC